GGCUCAGAGCGAACGCUAGCGGCGGGCCUAACACAUGCAAGUCGAGCGGGGAGCUUCGGCUCCUAGCGGCGGACGGGUGAGUAACGCGUAGGUCACGUACCCUCUGGUGGGGAAUAACCGUGGGAAACCAUGGCUAAUACCGCAUGUGGCCCUUCGGGGUCAAAGCCUUCGGGCGCCAGAGGAGCGGCCUGCGUCCCAUUAUUUAGUCCUAGUUGGUGAGGUAACGGCUCACCAAGGGUACGAUGGGUAGCUGGUCUGAGAGGAUGAUCAGCCACACUGGGACUGAGACACGGCCCAGACUCCUACGGGAGGCAGCAGUGGGGAAUAUUGCGCAAUGGGCGAAAGCCUGACGCAGCCACGCCGCGUGAGUGAUGAAGGCCUUCGGGUUGUAAAGCUCUGUCGGGAGGGACGAAGGGGGCAACCCCUGACGGUACCUCGCAAGAAAGCACCGGCUAACUCUGUGCCAGCAGCCGCGGUAAUACAGAGGGUGCAAGCGUUGCUCGGAUUUACUGGGCGUAAAGCGUACGCAGACGGCUUGGUAGGUCGGAUGUGAAAGCCCCGGGCUCAACCCGGGAACUGCAUCCGAAACCACCUGGCUAGAGUGUGGGAGAGGGAAGCGGAAUUCCUGGUGUAGAGGUGAAAUUCGUAGAUAUCAGGAGGAACACCGGCGGCGAAGGCGGCUUCCUGGCCCAUUACUGACGUUCAGGUACGAAAGCGUGGGCAGCAAACAGGAUUAGAUACCCUGGUAGUCCACGCCGUAAACGAUGUGUGCUGGAUGUCGGGGGUAUUCACCCCCUCGGUAUCGAAGCCAACGCGAUAAGCACACCGC
rnacentral:rRNA from 1 species